UACGGAGGAUCCAAGCGUUAUCCGGAAUCAUUGGGUUUAAAGGGUCCGUAGGCGGUUCCUUAAGUCUGAUGUGAAAGUCUGCAGCUCAACUGUAGAAUUGCCAUUGAUACUGUUAACCUUGAGUAAUUAUGAAGUGGUUAGAAUAUGUAGUGUAGCGGUGAAAUGCAUAGAUAUUACAUAGAAUACCGAUUGCGAAGGCAGAUCACUAAUAAUUUACUGACGCUGAGGGACGAAAGCGUAGGUAGCGAACAGG
rnacentral:misc_RNA from 1 species